UACGAAGGGGGCUAGCGUUGCUCGGAAUCACUGGGCGUAAAGCGCACGUAGGCGGAUCUUUAAGUCAGGGGUGAAAUCCCAAGGCUCAACCUUGGAACUGCCUUUGAUACUGGGGGAUUCUCGAAGUCCGGAAGAGGUUGGUGGAACUGCGAGUGUAGAGGUAGAAAUUCGUAGAUAUUCGCAAGAACACCAGUGGCGAAGGCGGCCAACUGGUCCGGUACUGACGCUGAGGUGCGAAAGCGUGGGAAGCAAACAGG
rnacentral:rRNA from 1 species